GGCUUCAUAGCUCAGCUGAUAGAGCGGUUGCGACGUUUAACAUGUUGUUUCCUGUCGCUGGCUCGAAUCCAGCCGAAGCCC